GACGUUGAAGACGACGACGUUGAUAGGCCGGGUGUGUAAGCGCAGCGAUGCGUUGAGCUAACCGGUACUAAUGACCCGUGAGGCUUAACCUUACAACGCCAGAGGCGUUUUG
rnacentral:rRNA from 2 species